rnacentral:pre_miRNA from 1 species
UGGCAGUGUUUCAGCUGGUUGUUUUGAUGACAUUGACAACUAGCAAGACUCUGCCCCU